rnacentral:rRNA from 1 species
UGAGCAAUCUGCCCUUCUCAUCGGAAUAAGCGUUGGAAACGACGUCUAAUGCCGAAUACGACCUCCUUUCGCAUGAUCGAAGGUGGAAAGCUCCGGCGGAGAAGGAUGAGCUCGCGGCCUAUCAGCUAGUUGGUGUGGGUAAUGGCCCACCAAGGCGACGACGGGUAGCUGGUCUGAGAGGACGACCAGCCACACUGGAACUGAGAUACGGUCCAGACUCUACGGGAGG